rnacentral:rRNA from 1 species
GUGAGGAAUAUUGGACAAUGGGCGCAAGCCUGAUCCAGCCAUGCCGCGUGAGUGAUGAAGGCCCUAGGGUUGUAAAGCUCUUUCACCGGAGAAGAUAAUGACGGUAUCCGGAGAAGAAGCCCCGGCUAACUUCGUGCCAGCAGCCGCGGUAAUACGAAGGGGGCUAGCGUUGUUCGGAAUUACUGGGCGUAAAGCGCACGUAGGCGGACAUUUAAGUCAGGGGUGAAAUCCCGGGGCUCAACCCCGGAACUGCCUUUGAUACUGGGUGUCUGGAGUAUGGAAGAGGUAAGUGGAAUUCCGAGUGUAGAGGUGAAAUUCGUAGAUAUUCGGAGGAACACCAGUGGCGAAGGCGGCUUACUGGUCCAUUACUGACGCUGAGGUGCGAAAGCGUGGGGAGCAAACAGGAUUAGAAACCCUAGUAGUCC